rnacentral:rRNA from 1 species
GACGAACGCUGACGGUGUGCUUUAGACAUGCAAGUCGAACGCGAAAGCCCUUCGGGUUAGUAGAGUGGCGAACGGGUGAGUAACACGUGGGCAAUCUGCCCCUCGCAGGGGGACAACCGGAGGAAACUCCGGCUAAUACCCCGUACGCUUGCUGGACCGCAUGGUCCGGCAAGGAAAGGUAGCUUCGGCCAUCCGGCGAGGGAUGAGCCCGCGGUGCAUUAGCUAGUUGGUGAGGUAACGGCUCACCAAGGCAACGAUGCAUAGCUGGUCUGAGAGGAUGAUCAGCCACACUGGGACUGAGACACGGCCCAGACUCCUACGGGAGGCAGCAGUCGGGAAUCUUGCGCAAUGGGCGAAAGCCUGACGCAGCAACACCGUGUGAGCGACGAA